CCCCGGCGGGCGGCGCCUACCAUGCAGUCGAGCGGUAGCACAGGAGAGCUUGCUCUCCGGGUGACGAGCGGCGGACGGGUGAGUAAUGUCUGGGAAACUGCCUGAUGGAGGGGGAUAACUACUGGAAACGGUAGCUAAUACCGCAUAACGUCUACGGACCAAAGUGGGGGACCUUCGGGCCUCACGCCAUCAGAUGUGCCCAGAUGGGAUUAGCUAGUAGGUGGGGUAAUGGCUCACCUAGGCGACGAUCCCUAGCUGGUCUGAGAGGAUGACCAGCCACACUGGAACUGAGACACGGUCCAGACUCCUACGGGAGGCAGCAGUGGGGAAUAUUGCACAAUGGGCGCAAGCCUGAUGCAGCCAUGCCGCGUGUGUGAAGAAGGCCUUAGGGUUGUAAAGCACUUUCAGCGAGGAGGAAGGGUUCAGUGUUAAUAGCACUGUGCAUUGACGUUACUCGCAGAAGAAGCACCGGCUAACUCCGUGCCAGCAGCCGCGGUAAUACGGAGGGUGCAAGCGUUAAUCGGAAUUACUGGGCGUAAAGCGCACGCAGGCGGUUUGUUAAGUCAGAUGUGAAAUCCCCGCGCUUAACGUGGGAACUGCAUUUGAAACUGGCAAGCUAGAGUCUUGUAGAGGGGGGUAGAAUUCCAGGUGUAGCGGUGAAAUGCGUAGAGAUCUGGAGGAAUACCGGUGGCGAAGGCGGCCCCUGGACAAAGACUGACGCUCAGGUGCGAAAGCGUGGGGAGCAAACAGGAUUAGAUACCGUGGUAGUCCACGCUGUAAACGAUGUCGAUUUGGAGGUUGUGCCCUUGAGGCGUGGCUUCCGGAGCUAACGCGUUAAAUCGACCGCCUGGGGAGUACGGCCGCAAGGUUAAAACUCAAAUGAAUUGACGGGGGCCCGCACAAGCGGUGGAGCAUGUGGUUUAAUUCGAUGCAACGCGAAGAACCUUACCUACUCUUGACAUCCAGAGAAUUCGCUAGAGAUAGCUUAGUGCCUUCGGGAACUCUGAGACAGGUGCUGCAUGGCUGUCGUCAGCUCGUGUUGUGAAAUGUUGGGUUAAGUCCCGCAACGAGCGCAACCCUUAUCCUUUGUUGCCAGCGAUUCGGUCGGGAACUCAAAGGAGACUGCCGGUGAUAAACCGGAGGAAGGUGGGGAUGACGUCAAGUCAUCAUGGCCCUUACGAGUAGGGCUACACACGUGCUACAAUGGCGUAUACAAAGAGAAGCGAACUCGCGAGAGCAAGCGGACCUCAUAAAGUACGUCGUAGUCCGGAUUGGAGUCUGCAACUCGACUCCAUGAAGUCGGAAUCGCUAGUAAUCGUAGAUCAGAAUGCUACGGUGAAUACGUUCCCGGGCCUUGUACACACCGCCCGUCACACCAUGGGAGUGGGUUGCAAAAGAAGUAGGUAGCUUAACCUUCGGGAGGGCGCUACCACUUGAUUAAGGG
rnacentral:rRNA from 1 species